AAGAAAGCCACGUGUGGAUUUUGGAGAAGAGUUAAUCAGUUUAAGGAUACAAGUGUGGUGGCCAAUGGAUGAAAUGAAAUGAACAGUGGUGCCCGUUGUCUAAUACUAGCAUUAAAGAUGUUGGAAGUUAGACACUUCUUAAAGACUGAUUAAGUUCAAAGUUGUCCUGAAGGCAUAAAAAACAGGUUUUAUCCAGGCACUGUUAAAGC